UCGAAAAAAGAAGAAGAUUAAAUCAGGAGGGAAACCAAAAGGAAACAGAUUCAUUUUAGGAGGGAAAUAAAAAAGGAAACUGGCGGUAAAGCCCCUCUCUCUCUCUCUCUGCGGUUGGAUCCAUUUUCUUCUUGUGAAUCUGAGAUGUUCGAUUCUGCAUCUGAAACCGGAGAGCGUCUCUCUCGCCCUCGGCGAACGAGCUCACAAGCAAUUCGAAAGUCCAGAGACGGUUCAGCUCUCGCAGGCUUCGCAGAUCGGAAGCACCAUACAAAUUCAAAGGAUGUUCUCUUAUUGGGGAUGAUGGGAGUUUGUGACUUUAAAUGCAAAGGUGAAGAGUUAGUAUACAAACCUUGCAAAUGCACUUGCAAAAUGCCUACAUUCUCCUCUCAUUGG